UGUUAUUGAAAGGUGAUGAAAAUAGGGUUAUGGACUAUUUUGCAUGGUUUGGUUGUAUUGAAUUGUGGAAGGUGGAUAUGGUAAUUGAGUUAUGGAAGGUGGAUAUAGUGAUAUACUAUUGAAUUGAUGAUUAUUUAUGUCUAUGGCUCAAUUUGGUUUAAUGGAUUGGUUGGAAGGAUAAAUAAAUCCAAACUUGAUAUUGGAGGAUGUUGUAUGAAUAUGCAUGGCAUGUGAAUGUAAUUGGAGUAUAAGAGGGUUAAAGUGACACCCUUUAUGGUGUAAUUAAGGCUUACUACUUAACCACUAGUUUGGUGAAUUCAAAUUUUAUAGAGUAAUUAAGGCUUACUACUUAACCACUAGUUUGGUGAAUUCAAAUAAUUGAAUUGUGAUGUUUGGUCGCUAAUACUAGAUUGCUAUAUAUGCUCAUUGUAGAUAAGUAAGCUGAAAAGACGGGAAGUCCAUUUGGUACUAGUAUUGAAGGUUGACAGUCAGGUAUGUAAAGCAUACUCUAUACCAUAUCUUUGGCAUGAAAGUGAACAAUUGUUCUAAUAAGAAAGUUUUGAAAGUUAUUCAAUAACAUGUGAUCCACAAUGGUUUUGUAUGAUGUCCUACGUUACCAAUGAACUUGUUUCCACCCUACAAGAUGUCAAGACAUUCCAAUACUUACUUGUUUUCCAAAUCUUACAUGUUUGUUGCACUAAUGAAUGUCAAAAGGUAUCCGGUUACUCAA
rnacentral:lncRNA from 1 species